rnacentral:misc_RNA from 1 species
ACGAACGAAGCGACCGCCCGCCUCAAGGAACUGGAGCACGACGUCGAGGCAAGCCGUGCCGCGUAUCAGGUUAUCCUGGCCCGAUCUCAGCAACAGCGGCCGGACAACGCGAGCGCCCGAAUAUUGAGCCGCGCAACGGUGCCGCUGGAGGNACAUUCCCCGUCGGGGUUCUGCUCAUCAGCGUGUUGCUCGGUCUCGGUCUGGGCAUCAGCCUGGCCUGGCUACUUGAAUUGAUGGACGAGCAAAAGCGAAUGGACGCAUUGCGUUAGUUCACUGCAUUUUCCGAACAACUACAGGACUUUCGCGCGGCAUCCCGUCAGCAGGCUUCAAAAACCGCGGAAUGGCAUGGGUGUCAUCGGGCACAGUUCCACCGGAAUCGCAGUUCGUCGUGUGCCGAUAUGAAAGGUGUCAUCCGACCUUCAAGUUAACCGGUCAAAAAGAACCCCUGAGUUUCAUAAG